GCUGAGAUAGCUCAGUCAGUAGAGCAUGAGACUCUUAAUCUCAGGGUCAUGGGUCUCAAGUCAGGCAAAAGAUCCAUGUAUUGCA